rnacentral:tRNA from 1 species
GCUGUCACGCCGGUACGAACGGAUUACUUUGAUGAAGUAAAUUAUGGGAUAAUUCUCUGACAUCU